AAACGAACGUUAGCGGCGCGCCCAACACAUGCAAGUCGCACGAGAAAGGGCUUCGGCCCCGGUACAGUGGCGCACGGGUGAGUAACACGUGGGUAAUCUGCCUUCGAGCGGGGGAUAACAUUCCGAAAGGAGUGCUAAUACCGCAUAAGACCACGCCUCCGAAAGGAGAAGCGGUCAAAGCUGGCCUCUAUACAUAAGCUAGCACUCGAUGAUGAGCCCGCGGAGCAUCAGCUAGUUGGUGAGGUAAUGGCUCACCAAGGCUUAGACGCUUAGCUGGUCUGAGAGGAUGAUUAGCCACACUGGAACUGAGACACGGUCCAGACUCCUACGGGAGGCAGCAGUGGGGAAUCUUGCGCAAUGGGCGAAAGCCUGACGCAGCAACGCCGCGUGAGUGAUGAAGGCCUUCGGGUUGUAAAGCUCUGUGGGGAGAGAAGAAUAGGUGCGGGCUAAUACUCCGCAUGAUGACGGUAUCUCCUUAGCAAGCACCGGCUAACUCUGUGCCAGCAGCCGCGGUAAGACAGAGGGUGCAAACGUUGUUCGGAAUUACUGGGCGUAAAGCGAGUGUAGGCGGUUUGGUAAGUCGGAUGUGAAAGCCCCGGGCUCAACCCGGGAAGUGCACUCGAUACUGCCAAGCUAGAGUAUCGGAGAGGUUGGUGGAAUUCUCGGUGUAGAGGUGAAAUUCGUAGAUAUCGAGAGGAACACCGGUGGCGAAGGCGGCCAACUGGACGAAUACUGACGCUGAGACUCGAAAGCGUGGGGAGCAAACAGGAUUAGAUACCCUGGUAGUCCACGCCGUAAACGAUGGGUGCUAGGUGUCGCGGGCUUUGACUCCUGCGGUGCCGUAGCUAACGCAUUAAGCACCCCGCCUGGGAAGUACGGCCGCAAGGCUAA
rnacentral:rRNA from 1 species